rnacentral:rRNA from 1 species
AUACGUAGGUGGCAAGCGUUGUCCGGAUUUACUGGGUGUAAAGGGCGCGUAGGCGGAUGUACAAGUCAGAUGUGAAAUACCGCAGCUUAACUGCGGGGCUGCAUUUGAAACUGUACAUCUUGAGUGCGGGAGAGGUAAGCGGAAUUCCGAGUGUAGCGGUAAAAUGCAUAGAUAUUCGGAGGAACACCAGUGGCGAAGGCGGCUUACUGGACCGUAACUGACGCUGAAGCACGAAAGCGUGGGGAUC